AAGCCUGAUGCAGCAACGCCGCGUGAGCGAUGAAGGCCUUCGGGUCGUAAAGCUCUGUCCUCAAGGAAGAAUAAAUGACGGUACUUGAGGAGGAAGCCCCGGCUAACUACGUGCCAGCAGCCGCGGUAAUACGUAGGGGGCAAGCGUUAUCCGGAAUCACUGGGCGUAAAGGGUGCGUAGGCGGUUUUUCAAGUCAGAAGUGAAAGGCUAUGGCUCAACCAUAGUAAGCUUUUGAAACUGUUAAACUUGAGUGCAGGAGAGGAAAGUGGAAUUCCUAGUGUAGAGGUGAAAUUCGUAGAUAUUAGGAGGAACACCAGUGGCGAAGGCGACUUUCUGGACUGUAACUGACGCUGAGGCACGAAAGCGUGGGGAGCGAACAGGAUUAGAUACCCUGGUAG
rnacentral:rRNA from 1 species